UAAAACCAUCUCUAUCAAGAUGACAGAUCUAUUCUCUGUACUAGCCAUAGGAUCAAUUAUACCAAGUCACACACUCAUAUUCCGGAAAUACAGAAAAAAAUAAAUUCCACGGUCGAACUACCAAAAUAGAAUGGGAUAAAAACCAGAAAACUAAAUGCAAUGUUUCACUUUGUAUUGAAAAAGCUAGUUAAUGGUUCUUGUAAAUCUAAUUCAUUGAAAUUCCAUCCAGUAAAAUGGACGAAUUAUAAAUCUCCAAAAUAAUAGAUAGAAAUACUGCAAAUAGAGCCAUUGACGAGACCCAUCAAAGGAGUAGUUCCCCAACCAGGAGCUACCUUACCAUAUUCUGAAUUCAAUGGUUUCAAUAAACCCCCGGCCCUAGUUCGUUUUGGGCGGCCAGAUCUAGAACUACCCUCAACGGUUUGUGUAGCCAUAAUAUUUUAUAUUCAUUAAGAUCUGUUGACUUUGUAUACCAUUCCGUUGUAAAUAAAUGAUCUUAUCAUAGAUCCAUUGUGGUCUUAAAACUACAUAAUGUACUUAAAACUAUAUAAUAAUGGAAACAGCAACCCUAGUUGCCAUCUUUUUAUCUGGUUUACUUGUAAGUUUUACUGGGUACGCCUUAUAUACUGCGUUUGGGCAACCCUCUCAACAACUAAGAGAUCCGUUCGAGGAACACGGGGACUAGUCGAAAUAAUGAAAAAUCAUUUCCCCCUUUUACUUUUUGGUUGGAACUUUAGGCGGUUCGCGAAAAAAGAUAGCGAAAAAAAUUAUUCCUAGAGUUGAGACUAAAAGGAAUGUAUAAACCAAUGCUUCCAUAGAUUCGAUCGUGGUUUACAAUUAUAGCUUCCAUAUCUGUUUAGUUUGGACCGUCUUCCGGAUAAAGAAAGAACAAAAAUCAAAGAAAGGGCAACGAGUCAAAUGUCAAAUCAAGAUUUAUCCGGUACCCCAACCUUAUGUCAGUCAAAU